GUGCUCGCUUCGGCAGCACAUAUACUAAAACUGGAACGAUAUAGAGGAGAUUAGCAUGGCCCCUGCGCAAGGAUGACAUGCAAAUUUGUGAAGCGUUCCAUAUUUUU
ensembl:snRNA U6 U6 spliceosomal RNA